rnacentral:ncRNA from 1 species
AGUAGCCGGAUGAAGCGAGAGUUUCACGUCCGGAUCUGUGAGCACCUGGGGUGCGAUUCCCCUGGGUGGCUCGAC